CUACGGGCUGCAGCAGUGAGGAAUUUUGCGCAAUGGGGGAAACCCUGACGCAGCGAUACCGCGUGAGUGAAGAAGGCCUUUGGGUCGUAAAGCUCUUUUCUAAGGGAAGAUAGUGACGGUACCUUAGGAAUAAGCGCCGGCUAACUCCGUGCUAGCAGCCGCGGUAAUACGGAGGGCGCGAGCGUUGUUCGGAUUUACUGGGCGUAAAGGGCGCGUAGGCGGCCUGGCAAGUUAAGGGUGAAAUCCCGGGGCUUAACCCCGGAACUGCUCUUAAAACUGCCAAGCUAGAGAUGGUCAGAGGCGGGUGGAAUUCCAGGUGUAGAGGUGAAAUUCGUAGAUAUCUGGAGGAACACCGGUGGCGAAGGCGGCCCGCUGGGGCCAUUCUGACGCUGAGGCGCGAAAGCGUGGGGAGCGAACGGGAUUAGAUACCCGGGUAGUC
rnacentral:rRNA from 1 species